AGGGGCGUGGCCAAGUGGUAAGGCACCGGAUUUUGAUUCCGGCAUUCGCAGGUUCGAAUCCUGCCGCCCCUGCCA
rnacentral:tRNA from 1 species